UACAGAGGGUGCUAGCGUUAAUCGGAUUUACUGGGCGUAAAGCGUGUGUAGGCGGUUUGUUAAGUCGGGUGUGAAAUCCCUGGGCUCAACCUGGGAAUUGCAUUCGAUACUGGCAAGCUAGAGUACGGUAGAGGGCGGCGGAAUUCCGGGUGUAGCGGUGAAAUGCAUAGAUAUGCCAUAGAACACCAAUUGCGAAGGCAGCUGGCUAGACCUGGAUUGACGCUGAGGCACGAAAGCGUGGGGAGCGAACAGG
rnacentral:rRNA from 1 species